GAUGAACGCUGGCGGCGUGCCUAACACAUGCAAGUCGAACGUGAGGGGGUAGCAAUAUCCUUGAAAGUGGCGCACGGGCGAGUAAUACGUAGGUGACCUGCCCUGGAGUGGGGGAUAACAGCUAGAAAUGGCUGCUAAUACCGCAUACGAACUGAGGUUGAAAGCAGGGGACCGCAAGGCCUUGCGCGAUUGGAUGAGCCGAUGUCCGAUUAGCUAGUUGGUAAGGUAAAGGCUUACCAAGGCGACGAUCGGUAGCUGGUCUGAGAGGAUGAUCAGCCACACUGGGACUGAGACACGGUCCAGACUCCUACGGGAGGCAGCAGUGGGGAAUAUUGGACAAUGGGCGCAAGCCUGAUCCAGCCAUGCCGCGUGUGUGAAGAAGGCCUUCGGGUUGUAAAGCACUUUUGUUGGGAAAGAAAUCCUGCCGGUUAAUACCCGGCGGGGCUGACGGUGCCCAAAGAAUAAGCACCGGCUAACUUCGUGCCAGCCGCCGCGGUAACAC
rnacentral:rRNA from 1 species